rnacentral:rRNA from 1 species
UACGUAGGGUGCGAGCGUUAAUCGGAAUUACUGGGCGUAAAGCGUGCGCAGGCGGUCUGUUAAGACCGAUGUGAAAUCCCCGGGCUUAACCUGGGAACUGCAUUGGUGACUGGCAGGCUUUGAGUGUGGCAGAGGGAGGUAGAAUUCCACGUGUAGCAGUGAAAUGCGUAGAGAUGUGGAGGAAUACCGAUGGCGAAGGCAGCCUCCUGGGCCAACACUGACGCUCAUGCACGAAAGCGUGGG